GAUAGUGACAGUGACGCUUUCAAAUUUUGUAUAUGUUCAAAUUCACCUUUUUAUAACGCUUCUGUUCAACUUUUUCUAAAGGUUUCAGGAUAAGUGAGUGAUAACAGAUUUACAGGCACCGAAGGGAAUCCGUAUGACUAUGCAGCAGAGAGAAGUCUCGCUUCGCUUUAUACAAGUACUUGAAAAUUUUACAGAAAAAAGAAGAAUGCUCGCUGUUGAAUCUUCUUUGGUAAUAUAGGAAAGGCAAGGCAGUUGCUGUUGAGAAUACAGCAACUGCCAUGCCAUUGCGAAUACUAUGAAGAUGUGAAUCUGAUAAACAAAUAUACUUUUAAAAUAUGCAUAGUGUACAGAAGCGUAAAAUAUACAUUUUUUAUAAAAAUAUGAUAUAUGAUUAAUAAUUCAUUUUUUUCUUUUGCUACAAAAUGUCGUGAAGAUGUGGGUUGGAGAAGGAGUGAAAUUUUUUAUUCAAUUUUGUUUAAUAUAAUGUUUAUGUUUAGAACAACUUUUUUAGAAUUACUUUAUAUUAAAACUUGUGUUAAAAUUUAA